AUCUCCAUCUUGGCCUUUUGGCUAAGAUCAAGUGUAGUAUCUGUUCUUACCAGUUUAAUGGUACUGUCUUACAUGAUCUGUUUCUCAGACUUCUAGUUUCUUAUAGGAGAGUCUCAGAUAAUGUGUGCUUUAAACGCUCAUUACCAGUAUUCAGAAAAAUACAAGAUUUUUUUUGUUCAAGUGUUCAUGA
rfam:Mesocricetus auratus contig187651, whole genome shotgun sequence.